rnacentral:siRNA from 1 species
AUCUCAAAUACAAGCAUUGGAGAG